rnacentral:rRNA from 1 species
CCUACGGGAGGCAGCAGUGAGGAAUAUUGGACAAUGGGCGCAAGCCUGAUCCAGCCAUGCCGCGUGCAGGAAGAAGCAUCUAUGGUGUGUAAACUGCUUUUGUACAGGAAGAAACACUCCCUCGUGAGGGAGCUUGACGGUACUGUAAGAAUAAGGACCGGCUAACUCCGUGCCAGCAGCCGCGGUAAUACGGAGGGUCCGAGCGUUAUCCGGAAUCAUUGGGUUUAAAGGGUCCGUAGGCGGUUUAAUAAGUCAGUGGUGAAAUCUGGUCGCUCAACGAUCAAACGGCCAUUGAUACUGUUAGACUUGAAUUAUAAGGAAGUAACUAGAAUAUGUAGUGUAGCGGUGAAAUGCUUAGAUAUUACAUGGAAUACCAAUUGCGAAGGCAGGUUACUACUUAUGGAUUGACGCUGAUGGACGAAAGCGUGGGGAGCGAACAGGAUUAGAUACCCUGGUAGUCCACGCCGUAAACGAUGGAUACUAGNUGUGUAGNAUNUGAGUGNGUAGACGAAGUAGAUAAGUAUACCACCGUACGGGAGGUACGGUUCGUCGAAGAAGAGAAACGUUAAAGGUAAAGUUAGUACGGACGUGAGACGUAGCGACGGACGACGACGAGGGAGGAGG